GCCCGACUAGCUCACCGGUAGAGCGCCUCACUAGUAUAUCCUCUUGGAUAUUAAUACGAGAAGGAUUAUACCGCAAUGAGGAGGCAACAGGUUCGACUCCUGUGUUGGGCA